ACUGGCCGACUAGUCAGCUUGACAGCCCUGUAAUCAGGGCGCAUGUCACAAAUAUCUAUAGAAUGGGACAUAUUGAGUCCUUUGGUACUUUGAGGAGCUUGACCUUCCUGUAAUUCAGGUUACGGUCUCUGCUAUUUGGCUAAUCCCAGCGACCACCCUGUAAUCAGGGUACAGGUUGCACCUCUCUUUUGAAAUCUUUGGAAUUGGAACCAUUUCAGUAACAUGGGCAGUUUGACCUCCCUGUAACUAGGGUUUGGUCUCCGAGGCCUUUUGGGUCUCUUGGCAUUGUGCUUUCUUCACAGCCUGAGGCGAGUGACCACCCUGUAAUCAGGGAUCUGGUCUUGGCCCUCUAUUCCCUUGGAACUAGGUCAAGUGCAGCCCACUGAUCUGAAUGAGCACCCUGUAAACAGGGUACAGGUCUCAUCAGACACUAUUUAUGGUGCCCCCAUGAGACUGUGUCCAGAGUCCUGGCCCUUUGCACUGCGCUUCCAACUUGCCUGGAAUUGUGCCGCCAAGUCUCCUGCUUUCUGCUCUGCUUACUGUGCUCUUGGAGAUUCGACAUCCUGCUCCUGUUGCUGGCAGCUCCAAGCACAAGUGUACGAGAAGGAAGUGUCAGGAAUGUCAAGCAAAGAGGAGGAAAGAGGACAACUCACUGAGGAUGGAGGAGAAGGAAAGGGACUCCGGGCACAGUAACCUCCCUUUAUCAGGCCUCAGGUCAUGUAAUUACACUGUACGGGCACCUCGAGCCUUUUAAUACCUUGCGCAGCGUGACCGCCCUGUAAUCAGGGUCCAGGUCUGUGCUGUUUUCUCCUUUUGACAUUGUGCUCCGUUAGCUGGCUAGUGAGAGUGACUGCCCUGUAAUCAGGGUGCAAGUCACCUCCCCCUCGCUUUCGAGGGACAUUGAGUUCUUCGGUAACUAGAGCAAUGUGACCGCCCUGUAACUAGGGUCCGAGUCUCUGCCCACUUGCUCAUUUGGCAUUACGCCUUGUUGUGGCCCUGUAGUCAGGAUGACGACCCUGUAAUCAGGGUACAAGUCAUCUUCCUUUUGCUUCUGGGGGAUACUGAGCUCUUUGGAACCCUGAGCCGUAGGACUCACCUCCCUGUAAUUUGGAGUCAGGGCGCUGCCAUCUUGCUGUUCUGACAGUCUAGUCACCGUGACCACCUGUAAUUCGGGUGCGUGUCACAAGUUGCUGUAGUAUGGGAAGUACUGAGCCCUUUGAUACCUUGUGGAGCGUGACCUCCCUGUAAUUCGGGGUCGGGUCUCUGCCCAUUUGCUCCCUGGCUUUAUGCGCCUUUAUCUUUCUAAUUGGAAUGACCACCCCGUAAUUUGGGUGCAGGUCAAAUCCCUCUCAUUUAUCAGGGAUUAGGGUUAGUUUAGGGCCCUUAGGAGUGUGACCGCCCUGUAAUCAGGGUUCAGGUCUAAAGUUGUCUUCUGUCAUUAUCCUCUUUAAUUCAGCUAGUCAGAGUGACCACCUUGUAAUCAGGGUGAGAGUCAAAAUCCCCUCACUUAUGGGAGCUACUGAUGUCUUUCUUACUUGAGCCAUGUGACCUCCCUGUAACUAGGGUUCAGGUCUCUGUCCUUUGCUCUUCUGGGAUUGGGUCUUGUUCUCAGCCUGGUCAGUAUGACUGCCCGGUAAUUAGGGUGCAGGUCAUGUGCCUCUUAUUUAGGGAGGACUAGAUUCCCCUUAAUGCGUUGGGCUGAGUGACCACCCUGUAAGUAGGGUUCAGGUCCUUUCCCCUUUGGUUCCUUUGGGUUGCUGCGCUAGUCACUUGGACCCCACCCUGUAAUCAGGGUGCAGGUCUUGUCCCUUUUCCCUUUGU